rnacentral:lncRNA from 1 species
GUUCUGAAAGCAUCAUCCUGGUUCACUGCAUUGAUGAAAUCGGAUGGAUAAGUCUUAUGAGCUAUGGACACAAGCACUUGGGAUAUGCUAUAAAACAUGUACACCAAGGCCAGGUGACCAUUUUUCCUUUGGACGUCAACGGCUUACGUAUGUAAAACUGUCCGGGACAAACCAGGUACCGCUGCAACCAUCAGUCACGUCGUUGCCCACAGACUCAAAUGUUGCGAUC